rnacentral:lncRNA from 1 species
CUGCAAGGUUUGCUAUCGUAGCCUCGUUGAUGAUAGCUUCCGCUUCUGCUCUCUUGGCUGCAAGGUACAAUUUUUUAUCUUUUUUCAUUUGUGUUAAAGUCAAAAGGAAGAAACUUUGGUAUUGGGUACACACAUUUUAAGGAUCUCUUACCAUUUCAUUGCCUUUUUUGAGUAAAAAGAUGAAAACUUUUUGAAAUGGGUCAUCUUCAAAUUUGGUUUAUUCUUUUACAGUUUCACCUAACGUUUCCAAGCAUUAGUUUUUCCUGUUUAGUCUUGUCCAAAAAAAGAACAAAACUU